UCAGGAUGAACGCUAGCGGCAGGCUAACACAUGCAAGUCGAGGGCGAUCGGGAGUAGCAAUACUGCCGGCGACCGGCGCAAGGGUGCGUAACGCGUGAGCAACAUGCCCGUAUCAGGGGGAUAAUCCAUGGAAACGUGGUCUAAUACCCCAUAGUAAUUAUGUAAGGCAUCUUAUAUAAUUUAAAGCUUUGGUGGAUACGGAUUGGCUCGCGUGACAUUAGCUGGAUGGUAAGGUAACGGCUUACCAUGGCUACGAUGUCUAGGGGUUCUGAGAGGAAGGUCCCCCACACUGGAACUGAGACACGGUCCAGACUCCUACGGGAGGCAGCAGUGAGGAAUAUUGGACAAUGGAUGGAAAUCUGAUCCAGCCAUGCCGCGUGCCAGGAAGACGGCCCUAUGGGUUGUAAACUGCUUUUGUAUGGGAGCAAUAAGGGCUACGUGUAGUCCGAUGAGAGUACCAUACGAAUAAGCACCGGCUAACUCCGUGCCAGCAGCCGC
rnacentral:rRNA from 1 species